CCCCGAACCCGGCAGCCAGCCUCCGCCUCCACCUCCUGCCGUGCCCGUUCUCAUCUCCCCCGCCCCUCUCCCUCCCUACAGAUCACCCGCCGCCAGCCACCACAUCUGCCCCCCACUGACCCGCAGCCACCAGAUCGUCCCCAAGGCCAGCAGCUCCGGCCACCACGAACCCAGAUCCGGUAGCACGGGCUCACGCCCAGGCGUUCGUGUGCUGCGGUCACCUUGGUGGUGAGGGGCUCUGGAGACGCACAGGCGCGGCAACUGAGUGUUGUGUGACACGGCGGCCAGUUCUCCUAGCGUGUGGAUCUCGGCGUCCUGCGGCCGGCCCCCGAGCUAUGGCUUGCGAUGCAGCGGCGGCAGCAGCCUCCCCGCCGCACCUCCGGCCCAUGCUCUCCUAACACGCGGACUUCCAAGCGCUUCCGUCCAGAUCAGGUGCCUCCCCUGCUCCUCGCUUGUUGUUGGAUCCUCCGCUCAGCCCCUCCCGUCGUAGACUUCCAUGGGGUGCAGACCUUUGGAGUGGAUUAGAGAGGAGAGGAGAUGCGCUGGGGCUAGCUAUCUAGCUCUGGAUUGGCUGGCUAGAUGGUUGAACGAUUCCUUGAUUCCUUCAUUUGUUAAUAGGUAGAGGCGCUAGGACCAACCCCUUAAGCGGAGGCCGCACAUGCUCGGCGGUGCCGUCGGCGAGAUGAAUGGAGCGGCCAUCCCCGCACGGCCCUCACCUGUCUUCCUCUGUCGAUUUAAGGUACCAGCAGGGAUAUAUAGGCUAAAGCUCCAUAUUGCUGGGAUCCGUGGCCAGGUAAUUGUUUUGGCGUGGUGCAGAAGCCCAGGAAACAGCCCAGACUCUACUUUUAGGAUGAAAUGGUAGAAGGAACAAACAGUGAGAAGAGAUUGGAAAUUUGAAGGCAAAUGCUGGAAUAUUUGAUGUUUUUUUCUAGUGUUGCUUUUGAUGCAAGAUGAAUGUAACUUGCAUGUAAAUUUUGAGGUGCUUCUCAAUGUAAAUCAUACGAUAUUGUAUUUGAUUUGAUGCUGUGGUAAA